rnacentral:rRNA from 1 species
UACGUAGGGGGCUAGCGUUGUCCGGAUUUAUUGGGCGUAAAGAGCGUGUAGGCGGCCAGGUAGGUCUGGUGUGAAAACUCGAGGCUUAACCUUGAGAUGUCAUCGGAAACCAUUUGGCUAGAGUCCGGAAGAGGAAAGUGGAAUUCCUGGUGUAGCGGUGAAAUGCGCAGAUAUCAGGAAGAACACCAAUGGCGAAAGCAGCUUUCUAGGACGGUACUGACGCUGAGACGCGAAAGCGUGGGGAGCGAACAGG